UACGUAGGGGGCAAGCGUUGUCCGGAUUUACUGGGCGUAAAGAGCGUGUAGGCGGCCAAGCAGGUCCGUUGUGAAAACUGGAGGCUUAACCUCCAGACGUCGACCGAAACCAUCUGGCUAGAGUCCGGGAGAGGAGAGUGGAAUUCCUGGUGUAGCGGUGAAAUGCGCAGAUAUCAGGAAGAACACCCGUGGCGAAAGCGGCUCUCUGGAACGGUACUGACGCUGAGACGCGAAAGCGUGGGGAGCGAACAGG
rnacentral:rRNA from 1 species